rnacentral:rRNA from 1 species
GCCUACGGGGCGCAGCAGUAGGGAAUCUUCCACAAUGGGCGAAAGCCUGAUGGAGCAACGCCGCGUGGGUGAAGAAGGUCUUCGGAUCGUAAAACCUUGUUGUUAGAGAAGAAAGUGCGUGAGAGUAACUGUUCACGUUUCGACGGUACCUAACCAGAAAGCCACGGCUAACUACGUGCCAGCAGCCGCGGUAAUACGUAGGUGGCAAGCGUUAUCCGGAUUUAUUGGGCGUAAAGGGAACGCAGGCGGUCUUUUAAGUCUGAUGUGAGAGCCUUCGGCUUAACCGGAGUAGUGCAUUGGAAACU